GAUUAACGCUGGCGGCGGGCAUAACACAUGCAAGUCGAACGAUUAAACUUAUUAUACUUCUUCGGACAGACUCUAGUCUGAUUGAUGCCGAACGGGUGAGUCACGCCUGGGUAACCUGCCUUACACAAGUGGUUAGCCUUGAGACACGAAGAAUAAUACCAUAUAAAUCUAUCACAGCACAUGCUAUAAUGGUCAAAGUGAUAUGGGCGGAAGAUGGACUUGCGUUUGAUUAACUGGUUGGUGAGAUAAAAGCUCACUAAGGCAACGAGCAGUAGCGGGCUUGAGAGAGGGUACGGCAGCAUUGGGACUGAGACAAGACACAGACUCCUAGGAGAGGUAGGAGUGGGGAAUUUUGGACCAUGCGGGAGACUAUGAUGCGGCGAGGCAGGGUGAUUUAGAAGGCCGUCGGGUUGUAAAAAUCUUUUGUAUAGGAAGAAAAUGACAGUAAUAUACGAAUAAGGUCCGGCUAAUUACGUG
rnacentral:rRNA from 1 species